AGAUCCCAAAGUCUACAGCUAGUGGGGAAACAAGUCGCUUCCAAAUGAGGGAAGGGCGGCGGCGGCAGGGGGGUUGACUUACAAAAAAGGACAAAAGAGGCAGUUCCUACUUACAGAGGCCGGCGGCUGGAGAGAUGAAGCUGAGGGCAUAUCAUCAGAUGACUGCCAGAGAUGCGGCGAUCGUCACCAGGAAGAGGGGAAGGGAGGAAGACGGGCGCCAUGCGUGCGCACUCGGCGGCUGGGCGGGCGGCGGCGAGGUGGUGUCCAGCGGCGAUAUGGCGGCGUUCGGCGAGGCGGGGGGCAGCGGCGGCUCUACGACGUCGGCCUCCGUUAGAACUGGACUUGGCGGCGCCGCCGGCAAAGCGUCAGAAGGAAGUAAGCUGAACAAGGCCCCAGGCUGGACGGGAAACAUGUAUGGGGGCAUGUCCUUGCCAAGAUUCAAGCAAAGGUUUCCUGCAUCACAAUAGCAAGAUGA
rnacentral:lncRNA from 1 species